AUUUUGAAAAAUAUACUAUUUAAUUCGUGCCAUUAUUGUAAAGCAAAAUUUUUUCCCAGCUCAAUUAUUUUGUCUCUUUAAUUUGAAUAAUACAAUUAUUGAAUUCCCGAAAUUUUAAAUUCAUCAACUAUUCAGUCCCCGUAAUUCGAAUAAUACAACUAUUCUUUCUUUUUAAAUUGUUCAUUGUGAAAUAAAGGGACUAAAUAGUAUAUUUUUAAAA
rnacentral:misc_RNA from 1 species